rnacentral:rRNA from 1 species
UACGGAGGGUGCAAACGUUGCUCGGAAUCACUGGGCGUAAAGCGCACGUAGGCGGACUCUUAAGUCGGUGGUGAAAUCCUGGAGCUCAACUCCAGAACUGCCUUCGAUACUGGGAGUCUCGAGUUCGGGAGAGGUGAGUGGAACUGCGAGUGUAGAGGUGAAAUUCGUAGAUAUUCGCAAGAACACCAGUGGCGAAGGCGGCUCACUGGCCCGAUACUGACGCUGAGGUGCGAAAGCGUGGGGAGCAAACAGG